rnacentral:rRNA from 1 species
AUUGAACGCUGGCGGCAGGCCUAACACAUGCAAGUCGGACGGUAGCACAGAGGAGCUUGCUCCUCGGGUGACGAGUGGCGGACGGGUGAGUAAUGUCUGGGGAUCUGCCCGAUAGAGGGGGAUAACCACUGGAAACGGUGGCUAAUACCGCAUAACGUCGCAAGACCAAAGAGGGGGACCUUCGGGCCUCUCACUAUCGGAUGAACCCAGAUGGGAUUAGCUAGUAGGCGGGGUAAUGGCCCACCUAGGCGACGAUCCCUAGCUGGUCUGAAAGGAGCACCAGCCACACUGGAACUGAGACACGGUCCAGACUCCUACGGGAGGCAGCAGUGGGGAAUAUUGCACAAUGGGCGCAAGCCUGAUGCAGCCAUGCCGCGUGUAUGAAGAAGGCCUUCGGGUUGUAAAGUACUUUCAGCGGGGAGGAAGGCGAUGUGGUUAAUAACCUUGUCGAUUGACGUUACCCGCAGAAGAAGCACCGGCUAACUCCGUGCCAGCCGCCGCAGUAA